CCUACGGGGGGCAGCAGUGAGGAAUAUUGGUCAAUGGACGCAAGUCUGAACCAGCCAUGCCGCGUGCAGGAAGACGGCGCUAUGAGUUGUAAAAUGCGUUUGUACGAGGGUAAACGCAGAUACGCGUAUCUGUCUGAAAGUAUCGUACGAAUAAGGAUCGGCUAACUCCGUGCCAGCAGCCGCGGUAAGACGGAGGAUUCAUGCGUUAUCCGGAUUUAUUGGGUUUAAAGGGUGCGUAGGCGGUCGGCUAAGUUAGAGGUGAAAUCCCGAGGCUCAACUUCGGAAUUGCCUCUGAUACUGUUCGGCUAGAGCGUAGUUGCGGUAGGCGGACUGUCUUGUGUAGCGGUUACAUGCUUAGAGUUCAUACAGAACCCCGAUUGCGAAGGCAGCUUACCAAGCUACUUCUGACGUUGAGGCACGAAAGCGUGGGGAGCAAACAGGAUUAGAUACCCGAGUAGUC
rnacentral:rRNA from 1 species